UACGUAGGGUGCGAGCGUUGUCCGGAAUUACUGGGCGUAAAGAGCUCGUAGGUGGUUUGUCGCGUUGUCCGUGAAAACUCACAGCUUAACUGUGGGCGUGCGGGCGAUACGGGCAGACUGGAGUACUGCAGGGGAGACUGGAAUUCCUGGUGUAGCGGUGGAAUGUGCAGAUAUCAGGAGGAACACCGGUGGCGAAGGCGGGUCUCUGGGCAGUAACUGACGCUGAGGAGCGAAAGCGUGGGGAGCGAACAGG
rnacentral:rRNA from 1 species